CGCUGGCGGCAGGCUUAACACAUGCAAGUCGAACGGUUGUAGCAAUACAGCAGUGGCAGACGGGUGAGUAACACGUGGGAACCUUCCUAGGGGUACGGAACAACUCAGGGAAACUUGAGCUAAUACCGUAUACGUCCGUGAGGAGAAAGAUUUAUCGCCCUUAGACGGGCCCGCGUCGGAUUAGCUAGUUGGUGGGGUAACGGCCUACCAAGGCGACGAUCCGUAGCUGAUCUUAGAGGAUGAUCAGCCACACUGGGACUGAGACACGGCCCAGACUCCUACGGGAGGCAGCAGUGGGGAAUCUUGGACAAUGGGCGCAAGCCUGAUCCAGCCAUGCCGCGUGAGUGAAGAAGGUCUUCGGAUUGUAAGGCUCUUUUGCCAGGGACGAUAAUGACGGUACCUGGAGAAUAAGCCCCGGCAAACUUCGUG
rnacentral:rRNA from 1 species